rnacentral:rRNA from 1 species
UACGGAGGGUGCAAGCGUUGUCCGGAUUUAUUGGGUUUAAAGGGUGCGUAGGCGGUUCUUUAAGUCUGGGGUGAAAGCCCGUUGCUCAACAACGGAACUGCCCUGGAAACUGGAGGACUUGAGUACAGACGAGGGUGGCGGAAUGGAUACUGUAGCGGUGAAAUGCAUAGAUAGUAUCCAGAACCCCGAUUGCGAAGGCAGCUGCCUAGACUGUAACUGACGCUGAGGCACGAAAGCGUGGGGAGCGAACAGG